UACGGAGGGUGCAAGCGUUGUCCGGAAUCACUGGGCGUAAAGGGCGCGUAGGCGGCUCAUGAAGGCUGUGGUGAAAGUCCGGGGCUCAACCUCGGAUCGGCCGUGGCGACUCGUGGGCUGGAGCACUGUAGAGGCGGGUGGAAUUCCGGGUGUAGCGGUGGAAUGCGUAGAUAUCAGGAGGAACACCGGUGGCGAAGGCGGCUACCUGGCCCAGAACUGACGCUGAGGUGCGAAAGCGUGGGGAGCAAACAGG
rnacentral:rRNA from 1 species